rnacentral:lncRNA from 1 species
CAAGCUAGUCCAUUUGUCACCAAGUCAGAUAGUCAUCUCCAUGCACACAUCUAGACAGACAAUCAAAAAUAAAACAAUAUACUUUCUUUUUUUACCAAGAACUUCGUCACUAGAAUAAAUUAUGGUUUAACUCCUUUUCAGAAGCAAUGUUGGAGGGAAAAAAACUACUUUGCAUAAGCUUCAUAUAGGCACUGCAUUUGCAUUUUGUUUCUCAAUCAAUAAUUGCUUCCACCAAGAGCUCUGCAAGUAAACAAGGAAAAACAUUAGCAUCUAGAGACAUACAAGUAAACAUGAAUGUGUAUGGUUCUAAAAAACAAACAUGAAUGUGUAUGGUUCUAAAAAAACAAGUGUAUGGUUCUAAUACAAACAUGAAUGUGUAUGGUUCUAAAAAAUAAGUUUUAAUACCAACAAGCAGUUUACAAGACAUAUGUUAUGGUUCUAAUACAAACAUGAAAUUUCAGAUACAAAGCAGUUUUGUACAAGUGUUAAAAAACAAGUGUUAAAAGUUUGAAGGAAAUUAAAUUAAACUAGCAAAGAAAUAUUAAAUGACACAACAACCAAGAAAAGAAAGGUUCAGAGAAGUGGAAAUGGCUAAAUCGAUGACUGGCUCAUGAACUGUGAAGGCACACCAAUAUCUCCAAGUACUGAUCACUAUCCUAUGCUUGAAGUGAAGGCACAAUAUCUCCAAGUACUGGUCACUAUCCUAUGCUUGAAGCAGCAACCACAGAUUCAAAUCCUAUCAGUUUGUUCCAUCUCAAUCUUUCCAAACCACUGAAUAUUUAAAACCCCAAACAAAAACACAGUAGUAGAUGAUCACCAGGUUGUUGUCAAGAAUUCAUGUCAGAACAAAAAAAGCAAGUUCAAAUAAUAUACCUGCAUACAAUGGCUGCAGGUGCAUUGUUCUUCUCAAUUCAAUGCUUCCACCAAACAUAAACCAUACUUAUGCCAAGGAUGCAGCCAUUUCAGAAUCUAAAGUGUCCAGGUCAUGCAGGUCAUUUCAGAAUCUAUAUUCUCAGCAAGAACUGUAACUAAACUGCAUAAAGGGCAGCAGAUAGUCUAUAUGGUGAACAAGGAUUAAAUAAAAACAGCAAAGUUAAGAACAAGGACCAAUUGGUCAUAUAGUGCUGAAAUAAAAUGAUGGACAACUAAGCAUUACCUAAUCUAGUAUUCAAGCUAGUAUUCAAAAUGGUCAUAUGGCCCAUACCUCCUUGAAACAAAAUGGAUGCAAACUAGUAUUCAAGCUAGCAGUUCAAUACCUGUUAACUAUAUCUAACAAGCUUAAGGCCUUAAGCAUUUAAUUAGAACAUAGCUACAAAGAAAACAUGCCACCGAACAAACAAGAAGCACAAUCAAUCGGUAUUGCAUCAGUCUCAUUCCAAAUUGAGCCAAACAAAAAUUAUUUAUCAGCAAACAUGUCCACAGAAAACAAUUGCCAUCUAAUUACAGGAAACUCUGAUCUUCUACGACAGGGAAUACAAACAGAGCAAACUGUGUCAUGACUAAAAUCUAAAACUGCUAUGCAAUCUUAGACCUAUGCUGGUGACACAGUGGUUCCUGCAUGGCAAUACAUUUAUACAAAGAAUGGCACACGGAAGCUUGAAAAUACAAACAUUUGGCAAAUGACAGCAGGCAUAUAGUCAAUACCCAUCAGGCCAACCCUACCAACUAUUUACACAAAAGGUCUAGGAGUUCUCCACUAACCUGAAAUGUCUUCAGCUAACUAAGAUGUCAACUAUCAAAGGCAACGCCUGAUAUGUCAACUAAGCAGUAGAAUUUCAGUGACCCAGCAACAGUAAACACAACGAAUAAUGUUAGUAGCUGGAGGCAUAGCUAAAGUUUCAGAAACUGCACAGAACUCUAGUUUGACAAGUAGAAUAAAAAACUGAUAAGAUGCAAAUGCACUACACAGAAAUUGCUGCAAUGAAAUGCACUGUGCAGUUUUCUGAAAAAAACAGGCAGCAGGUAACAGGAAACAUGCAACAACUAGAAUAUUUGUAAUGCACCUUGUGUAUUUAUGUGAUUGCUUUAGGUAAAAAUACAGUAUGAUGCACUACAACAAAAAGUAAAUUUUUAGAUAUAUCGCAAUGAGUCGCCUUUGAAGAUCUGGCGAGAUCUUUUAUUAACACAGAUUAGAAUACUUUCCUUUCUUAACCAAUACAACAAAAAAAAUUGACAUCUAAAGAAUCUUAGACCUGAAUCUAACCGUCUAUAAGGAGAUAACAGUAACAAGUUAAAACUAAUAGUGAAACAAAUAUAACAGGUCCGCACAUUACAAUGCUACCAAGCAAUGUCCUGUUAAUAACAACAGCAUCUGCACAUGAUAACCAGAGUUAUCCUUGUCACAGCUUACAAAACCCUGCAUUCUCAUAAAAUUCUAUUGGCCAUAGAGGUAGCUUUCGAAAUAGAGGCAUGUAUCACAAUACUUUGACAUCAGCUAUAGUUUCUACUAGAAACAUUACUGAACUUACAGAACAUCCAAUAAUUGGUGCUAAUUAAAACUGAAUCCUGCAUCCACCACUCACCGAAUAAAACUGGUUAGGCUCUGUUUUGCCCAGAUCCACAAGAAGGGGUGUGAGAUGCGGGCAAAAGUGCAGAGGUUGUGUCAUGUUGUUGGCAACGUCGUGUUGCUCGCGAACGACACAAUGCUAGCGGUAGAGGCCUCCGAGCUCAUGGACUGGUACUCCAAGAUCAACCUGAAAGAGAUGUGGAUGAAACCCUAGCAAAUCGAGAAACUUCUGUGGGGAAGGAGAUGUGGAUGGAGGUGGAGGUGGACAGAUUGGCGAACAUGCACGUGGCAUCCUCGAGCUUCUCCCCAGGUGCGAGACCUCCGGGAUCCUCGGCUCUCCCUGCUAGCGCCCCGAGACGACGGGCCCCUACUACGCUGGUGGUGCGGGGGCGCGGCUGCUCUGGGAAAGUGGUGCUCCUUCCUCGUCUGGAUCUGGAUGGAGCUCGUCGGUGGAGACCGGAGCACCUGGGUGACGGCGGCGACCUCACGACUGGGGUGACCUCGUGACUGGAAGAAGACCAGCCGCGCGGCUCGCGUCGCACGGGGAAACCCUCCCGGCCGAACGGGUCGUGGAUUCGUUUCUCG